UGUGGCUGAAUUGCAGCCUGGGUGAAAGAGCGAGCAUCCAUCUCAAAAAAGAAAAAAAAAAAAGAAAAGAGCAUGUAUUUUUUAGGUUUUGAGUCUGUGAGUGUUUGUGAUAACACUUUCUGAUCUAUCAAGGUCAGUGUUUAGAAAGUAUAUCAGUUAUUGCCACAGUAAUGCUGUGUAACAAAUGACUUCAAAACUCAAUGCUGUGAAACAAGCAUACGUUUUCCGUGUGUUGGCAGGGGGUCGGUUGAUCUGGGCCGGGCUUGCCUCCAGGCUACAGAUUUUGUACAGGUCUGUUCCAGUACCCUGUUAAUUUGUGCUUUUGCUUUCCAGAAUCUUCUUAAUCUUGGAUCCCUGACCAUGCACUGAUUAGGUCUCUGAUCUUGCAACAUCAAAGAGAGAGUUGAUGCUUCACUGCAUCUAGGGAUCAGGCUCUUGAUUUUGUCAGCACAGUUAACAGAGAUUUCCUGUGACUUCCCAAGGAAAGUCUUGUCCAUUGGAGCUGUUUUAGGGGUUCAGGAUGGCAUUCUCUCCUCUUCGACCUUGUGGAGAUUCUAAGCAAUGAAGCAUAAGUCUCAGACAGUAGCCAAAUGGGCUGCGAAGUACAGUUUAAUUAAUCUGGGCAUGCACUCAACACCCCAGUGCGGUGCUUUGCUAGGACUUGGCUUGGAGAUUGAGGCUAAUUUUGAGGCUGAGAUGCAGCUUCUUGUCUUAUAAUCAGAAUCGAGGUGGUAAGAUCUGAGUGCACAGUAGACACAGAUUACUCUGACCUGAAUAGCAGAUGUUGCAUGUAUGCUCUCACCCUCUAAGUAGCAUGUACCAAGUCUGACUCACACUGCCACCCACAGACCAGGAGGAUGGUCUUGCUUCCCAAAGACAAAAAUGGGUCCUGCCCCGUUUGCUUGCUUGACACAGGGAAACAGGAAGUAAAGAGUAGACGCUUUCUGCAUGGGCGUGACACAGUAGGGGUUUAGAAUGCCUGAUCAAAAAAAAAGUUGCUCUAUGAGUGUUAUGUCUUUACCAGUCCUAGCUGCCACUUCUUUACCCCUGGGAAGGAAACAGUAAGGAUUUGAAGAGCCAGGCUUAAAACAGCUUCUUCAUGACUUCUCCAGAUUCCUUUAUAGGUCAAGGCUGCAAUGUGGGGGGAGGGGGAGAAGAGGUUCCCCUCAGUGUUUUCUGGAGUGUGAGGAAGACUCAGUGCCUGGGGCAAUGUGAGAAUUGGAGUGGGAUGUUCUCCUGGCAGUUUCCUUUCAGUUACACCGAUGGAGAAUUGCCGGGAGUUGGAGUGGGGGAAUGAUGAAUUCCUCUUCCUCGAGGACAGAGCUGAGCAGAGCUCACCACGUUUCUCAGAUUGUGCCUCUUACGCUCCUCAGAAUCGGGCAUCGUUAUAAAGAUAUGAUGGAACAGUCAUCAGGACAGUGAAUGGCAGCUCACCUCGAGGAGGGGUUUAGAAUGUUCCAGCUUCCCUGCAUUGCCUUCUUGUUCACAGUAUGGGUCAGUGGGCUGGUGGUAAUUUGCAUGACUUUCUAAAAGCCUGUGGUGGAAAUGGGAAGAGAAAGCAAAGCUUCAAACUGGGUCUGUUCUUCAGGGCCCUAAAAUCAUGCCCAUUUUCCGUAGGAGGCAUCUUCAGGUUGUGAUUCCCAGAAUUAUAAAUCCAAUUAAGUUCAGAGCAGACAUACUGUAGACAGAAAUAGCCUUCAUGGGCUGGGCUUGCUAUUUUCUUUGGAAACCACUCACUGGACACUGCCACCUCCUCCCAUCAGUCUUUCCCUCCUCCUGUACCCACCCUGUCUCUCCUCCAACCCAGAGUUCAUGCUUAAUGACCUGAGACAGUACCACCAAGCAUUCCCAGUCAAUCGGCUUUUUGUAGAGAGUGAAUGAAUAGGACAUUUCUCUGGCCUUCUCUAUCCUAAAAACGACCUUCCCCAGCUCACUGGAAUAUGCUACUCAAACCAGAAAGUAAGCUGUUCCCUCUCAUUCCCUCCCUCAUCCUUUCCAA